UACGUAGGGGGCAAGCGUUAUCCGGAUUUACUGGGUGUAAAGGGAGCGUAGACGGUGAUGUAAGUCUGGAGUGAAAGGCGGGGGCCCAACCCCCGGACUGCUCUGGAAACUAUAUGACUGGAGUGCAGGAGAGGUGAGCGGAAUUCCUAGUGUAGCGGUGAAAUGCGUAGAUAUUAGGAAGAACACCAGUGGCGAAGGCGGAUUACUGGACGAUAACUGACGGUGAGGCGCGAAAGCGUGGGGAGCAAACAGG
rnacentral:rRNA from 1 species